AGAAAGAUGAUCUUGCACUGUUAAUGUAGGCAUAUCAAUCAACCAGAUUACAUGACAGGCCAGUGUUAAACAACACAUUUCUAGCCUUGAACAAUGAUAGAUCUAUUUGAAAACUGCCAGGAACGGUGCAGCUGUUUAAACUUUUUUCGCAACCUUUUCUCCACGUUACGCCCUCGCAAAUAGUCAAAAACGUUCUUAACAAAGCCUGCCGAAACACUUAAGUACAAGAGUGUUGUGCUUUCAAAGCAGUGAAUAAACUAAACGUUGGAAAAUUAAAAAAGAAACAGGGUAACCCAGUUCGAACGAGAGGACGUGGUGUUUGUUUAUCGUAACGGCACUUCUUCCGCGCUUGUAAAGGUGUCCGCAUGCUUCCCAGUCGAAACAGUUCGUGCAUAUAUUAUGUUUGUGGACUUCGUUGAGGGUUCUGGAGAUAAGCCGAAGUUCGGAGCCGAAGUCUACUGAUCAUUUUCCAUCAAUGGAUGUUUUUUUAUUUCUCCGUUAUUUUACCAGGUAAAUUGACUGAGAACAAGUUCUCAUUUACAACAACGAUGUGGGGAAUAGUUACAGGGGAGAGGUGGGGGAUGAAUGAGCCAAUUGUAAACUGGCGAUUAUUAGGUGACCAUGAUGGUUUGAGGGCCAGAUUGGGAAUUUAGCCAGGACACUAGGGUUAACACCCCUACGAUAAGUGCCAUGGGAUCUUUAAUUACCCUAGAGAGCCCCAUCCGAAAGACUGCACCCUACACAGGGCAGUGUCCCCAAUCACUGCCUUGGGGAUUGAGAUAUUUUUUAGACCAGAGGAAAGAGUGCCUCCUACUGGCCCUCCAACACCACUUCCAGCAGCAUCUGGUCUCCCAUCCAGGGACUGACCAGGACCAACCCUGCUUAGCUUCAGAAGCAAGUCACCACCAAGCAAGUGGCACUAUGAAGACUAAGGAGCUCUCCAAACAGGUACUGACAGGAGGCGUGACGAGGACGCUGAUCCAGUGGACCUGGUGCCAGUAAGGAUGGUCGUCACGGAGACGAUAAGACCGUCCAGGAUAGAGAAAUCCUUCGACUUCACUGCCUCUUCAAUGACGAUCCCACAGAUGAAGAAGCUGGAAGUGGAGGUCCUGGGCUGUCCUGGUUACACAUGGUCUGUGGAUGUGAGGCCAGUUGGAUGUACUGCCAAAUUAUCUUACAAAGUUGGAGGCGGCUUAUGGUUUCAUUGUCCCCCAGCACAAGGUGCACCUGUGUAAUGAUCAUGCCGUUUAAUCAGCUUGAUAUGCCACACCUGUCAGGUGGAUGGAUUAUAUUGGCAAAGGAGAAAUGCUCACCAACAGGGAUGUAGACAAAUUUGUACACAUUUUGUGCAUAUGGAACAUUUCUGGGAUUUAUUAUUUCAGCUCGUGAAACAUGGGACUAACACUUUACAUGUUGCCUUUUAUAUUUUUAUUCAGUAUAAAGUUAUUUGAUUGAUUAACAUUUCAGCUGUAAAAUAUUUAACAAGUGCAGUUGUUCCAUAAACGUUCAAUUGAUAACUUGGGAUUGUAUCACUUGACAUAUCUAUCAUCUUCACAGUGUGAAGGAUCCUAUAAAUCAAGACUGAUUGCAUGUGCCACUCUGAAUAAAUAAAUACUGUGACUUUGAA
ensembl:lncRNA